AUUGAACGCUGGCGGCGUGCCUAAUACAUGCAAGUCGAACGGGGAAAGCUUUCGGGUGAGUACUAGUGGCGCACGGGUGAGUAACGCGUGGAUAAUCUGCCUUAGAGUGGGGGAUAACUAGUCGAAAGAUUAGCUAAUACCGCAUAAGACCACAAGAACUGCGGUUCAAGGGGUCAAAGGUUUUUCGCUCUAAGAUGAGUCCGCGUAAGAUUAGCUAGUUGGUAGGGUAACGGCCUACCAAGGCGACGAUCUUUAACUGGUCUGAGAGGAUGAUCAGUCACACUGGAACUGAGACACGUCCAGACUCCUACGGGAGGCAGCAGUAGGGAAUAUUGCACAAUGGAGGAAACUCUGAUGCAGCGACGCCGCGUGAGUGAUGAAGGCCUUCGGGUCGUAAAGCUCUGUCGCAGGGGAAUAACACAAUGAAGGUACCCUGUAAGAAAGGAUCGGCUAACUUCGUGCCAGCCGCCGCGGUAACAC
rnacentral:rRNA from 1 species